rnacentral:rRNA from 1 species
GAAUCCAUAGGUUAAUGAGGCGAACCGGGGGAACUGAAACAUCUAAGUACCCCGAGGAAAAGAAAUCAACCGAGAUUCCCCCAGUAGCGGCGAGCGAACGGGGAGGAGCCCAGAGCCUGAAUCAGUGUGUGUGUUAGUGGAAGCGUCUGGAAAGGCGCGCGAUACAGGGUGACAGCCCCGUACACAAAAAUGCACAUAUUGUGAGCUCGAUGAGUAGGGCGGGACACGUGGUAUCCUGUCUGAAUAUGGGGGGACCAUCCUCCAAGGCUAAAUACUCCUGACUGACCGAUAGUGAACCAGUACCGUGAGGGAAAGGCGAAAAGAACCCCGGCGAGGGGAGUGAAAAAGAACCUGAAACCGUGUACGUACAAGCAGUGGGAGCCUCUUAAUGGGGUGACUGCGUACCUUUUGUAUAAUGGGUCAGCGACUUAUAUUCUGUAGCAAGGUUAACCGAAUAGGGGAGCCGAAGGGAAACCGAGUCUUAACUGGGCGUUAAGUUGCAGGGUAUAGACCCGAAACCCGGUGAUCUAGCCAUGGGCAGGUUGAAGGUUGGGUAACACUAACUGGAGGACCGAACCGACUAAUGUUGAAAAAUUAGCGGAUGACUUGUGGCUGGGGGUGAAAGGCCAAUCAAACCGGGAGAUAGCUGGUUCUCCCCGAAAGCUAUUUAGGUAGCGCCUCGUGAAUUCAUCUCCGGGGGUAGAGCACUGUUUCGGCAAGGGGGUCAUCCCGACUUACCAACCCGAUGCAAACUGCGAAUACCGGAGAAUGUUAUCACGGGAGACACACGGCGGGUGCUAACGUCCGUCGUGAAGAGGGAAACAACCCAGACCGCCAGCUAAGGUCCCAAAGUCAUGGUUAAGUGGGAAACGAUGUGGGAAGGCCCAGACAGCCAGGAUGUUGGCUUAGAAGCAGCCAUCAUUUAAAGAAAGCGUAAUAGCUCACUGGUCGAGUCGGCCUGCGCGGAAGAUGUAACGGGGCUAAACCAUGCACCGAAGCUGCGGCAGCGACACUAUGUGUUGUUGGGUAGGGGAGCG